UACGGAGGGUGCAAGCGUUGUCCGGAUUUAUUGGGUUUAAAGGGUGCGUAGGCGGAUCUUUAAGUCUGUGGUGAAAGCCCAUCGCUCAACGAUGGAACUGCCAUGGAUACUGAAGAUCUUGAAUUCAGUUGAGGUAGGCGGAAUUGAUGGUGUAGCGGUGAAAUGCAUAGAUACCAUCAGGAACACCGAUUGCGAAGGCAGCUUACUGGACUUGAAUUGACGCUGAUGCACGAAAGCGUGGGGAGCGAACAGG
rnacentral:rRNA from 1 species